rnacentral:lncRNA from 12 species
UUGGAAGCCCCUUUGACAACAUUGGAAAACAGAAAAAGGAUUUUCAGUGUGGAUCCUCCUACUUCAUUCUUUUGAGCUGCUGAUGAGUGGAAUUGAUGGCUUGUUGGUUGUCUGGAAGAUUCUGAGCAUGAGUGUGGUGAAUCUGGCUGAAGCUGAACUUUAGAAGCCUCCUGGGAGUUUGGGGAUUUGCAAAAUGAGGUGACAGAAUGAUCCAGUGAUGACAUGAGCAGGCAGUGUGGACACAGCCUUCCCAGUUCUGGUUAGGCUGGCCAACCUGCAAGGGCUGUGUGGCCUCUGAUGCAGCUAUGGAGAAAGUGCUUGAGCAAUAAAGC